rnacentral:tRNA from 1 species
GACGGUAUAGUUCAGUUUGGUAGAACAAUGGAAUCAUAAUCCAUAUGCCGUAGGUUCAAAUCCUACUUCCGUUA